UCGGACGGUAGCACAGAGGAGCUUGCUCCUCGGGUGACGAGUGGCGGACGGGUGAGUAAUGUCUGGGAAACUGCCCGAUGGAGGGGGAUAACUACUGGAAACGGUAGCUAAUACCGCAUAACGUCGCAAGACCAAAGUGGGGGACCUUCGGGCCUCACACCAUCGGAUGUGCCCAGAUGGGAUUAGCUUGUAGGCGGGGUAACGGCCCACCUAGGCGACGAUCCCUAGCUGGUCUGAGAGGAUGACCAGCCACACUGGAACUGAGACACGGUCCAGACUCCUACGGGAGGCAGCAGUGGGGAAUAUUGCACAAUGGGCGCAAGCCUGAUGCAGCCAUGCCGCGUGUAUGAAGAAGGCCUUCGGGUUGUAAAGUACUUUCAGCGGGGAGGAAGGUGYUGAGGUUAAUAACCUCAGCAAUUGACGUUACCCGCAGAAGAAGCACCGGCUAACUCCGUGCCAGCAGCCGCGGUAAUACGGAGGGUGCAAGCGUUAAUCGGAAUUACUGGGCGUAAAGCGCACGCAGGCGGUCUGUUAAGUCAGAUGUGAAAUCCCCGGGCUUAACCUGGGAACUGCAUUUGAAACUGGCAGGCUUGAGUCUCGUAGAGGGGGGUAGAAUUCC
rnacentral:rRNA from 1 species